rnacentral:lncRNA from 1 species
AUUUUUUGAAUUUUUUGUUUUCUAGAUUUUUCUUUUGAUCUUUGAUCCUUUUAAUACUAAGUAGUUUUAAGCUAGAAUUAAGUAGUUAUAAGCUAGUUUUAAAUGUAUAUUAGUUAAGUAAUCAAUACAUUUAUCUGCAUCACUAGAUAUUUACAUAUUUCUAACAAUUUUUCAUGGUUGCCAUGGCUCUCCUGUGAGAGAUCAAGCAAACUCUGAGAGGGACAUGAAGAAUGCACAGUUGUUUCAUGAUUCCCUCAGAAAGUUUUUAAUGCCCUCAAUGAUUGUUAUAGCUUGAGAAGAUUGAUAAGGGAUGAAAUUCACAAUAAUUUAUAAAGUAUGUCAAGUAUCUUUGAAAACUUUAUUGAGUUCACUCAAAGCUGAUGACAGAGUUGUAGAAUUAGAGAGACAGAUGAAGCACAAGAUCGAAGAGGAGAAGAUUUCAAAAACAUUGUAUUCAGAGGUGAUCAGGAGAUCUGUUCCAAAGCAAGAUGAUGCAAUAAUUCUUGUGUAUCCCUCCAGGGGCAUGGAAGCUAUAGAACCUUGGAAACUCCUUGAACUUCCUUAAAGAAAGAAGUGAUCUUGCAAGAUCUGAAGAUAUGUUUGAAGAAUGCCAGAACAGUGAAAUCAAGAAUAGUCAUUUCUUCUAUGAGUGCAGGGGCAUCAAAGCUAAAGGCAAAACUACAGGAGAAGGAAGAAUACAUGGCUAGAAUCAACAAGACGACAACAGAUCAUAAUCACAAAACCCCUUUGGAUAUCAGUGCUGAGGCCCCUGGAGCAACAUAAUACUUUUAACAAACACAUAGAUGCAUGGCUAUGUUUUUGCCAGACAAUUUCAGGCUGGUCUUUCAAAUAAGAAAAAGGGCAGACUGAAACCUGUACUCCUGGUUAGUAGAGGAGGAUAUGAAGAGGAGGGCCAUAUAAGAGAGUAACAACUUUCUGACCAUUAGCUAAUUGUCACACAAUAUAAGGGACUUCUACAGUUUUUGUUGCUGUAGUAAAUAUUGGUCUUAUGGGCAUUUGGCCAAACAAUAUAAGGCUGCUGUAGUCUGCCCUAACUGUGCAGCUACUGGCAAUGACUUGUGCCAAUUCACAUCUUGAAGAGAGUUUAAGUGUAUCAGCUAUCCAAAAUAUAAAACAGAAUGCCAACUAGGGAUUCUAUCCCGGGACGACCCGAGAAAUAAUUCCCGGGAAUUUGAUAAAAUUC